GAAUGCCUUCCCUGGUACUAGUUACUGUGCAAGCCCAAUACACAGACGGGUGAUGAGAGGACUCUGCCUGCUCCUGUGAACUCAGGGGUCUACCAGGGGACCAGCAUUAAGCAGCUAAUCACACAGCUAUCCAGCGACUUUCACAUGGUGCCCAGGGCUGUCCAGGAAGAGCAUGGAGACAGUGCCUUGUGGUGAUUGAUUAAACACAGACUCUGGAAUCGGACUGCCCGGGUGUGAAUCCCAGCCCUGCCAUCUGUUUGCCACGUGGCUCAGUUUGUUCAGUUAUAAAAUGGGAAGAAGAAUGGUAGAAUACAACUCACAGAGCUGGUGUGAGGACUGGGUGAGACAGUGCAUGUAAAAGGCUUAUGGCUGGCCUUGGCCCAGAGUGCCGGCACUGCGUAAAUGUAAGCAAUUGUUGGGAUCCUAUAACAGGAACUUAAUUUAGUCUAGGAGUCAGGGGAGACCUCGGAGGGAG
rnacentral:lncRNA from 10 species